UAAAAAUGCCAAAGUUAUUAUUUGGAGACUUAUUAUCAUUUCAAUUAAUUGUAAUUCAGGAGUACGAUGGAGAUACACAGGGCAUGAAGCACUGACAAUUCAAGAGCUCAUAAUAAUCUAAGGCUAACGUUACUCCGAUUGCUUUCAUGGUUGAGGUUAUUUCGUGGAUAAUCAGUUUAAAUCCAAGUGAGCUGUGCUGCUUAAAAGUUUGGCUGCCAAGGAACCAUCUGCUCUUGCCUUGGAUACUUAUUACAAGCAGUAUUAUCUCUGUUUGGCUGUUGCUGCUGCUAAUAUCAAAUGGUAUGCUAUUGAUACAAUGCAAUCUGUGUGCCUUAAGGAAGCUGGUGCAAAUGCAAUGGACCCUUUAGCAAGGGAAACUACUCUUAUACAACUG